AGAGUUUGAUCAUGGCUCAGAACGAACGCUGGCGGCAUGCCUAACACAUGCAAGUCGAACGCUCUUGGGGCUUCGGUCGCAAGGGAGUGGCGCACGGGUGAGUAGCGCGUGGGAACCUGCCCUGUUGUGGGGGAUAACCGAGGGAAACUUCGGCUAAUACCGCAUGCGCCCCGGCGAAAGCCGGGGGAAAGAUUUAUCGCAGCAGGAGGGGCCCGCGUCGGAUUAGCUAGUUGGUGGGGUAACGGCCUACCAAGGCAGCGAUCCGUAGCUGGUCUGAGAGGAUGAUCAGCCACACUGGGACUGAGACACGGCCCAGACUCCUACGGGAGGCAGCAGUGGGGAAUAUUGGACAAUGGGCGCAAGCCUGAUCCAGCAAUGCCGCGUGAGUGAUGAAGGCCUUAGGGUUGUAAAGCUCUUUCGCCCGCGACGAUGAUGACGGUAGCGGGAGAAGAAGCCCCGGCUAACUUCGUGCCAGCAGCCGCGGUAAUACGAAGGGGGCGAGCGUUGUUCGGAUUUACUGGGCGUAAAGGGCGCGUAGGCGGCGGACCAAGUCGAGUGUGAAAGCCCCGGGCUCAACCUGGGAGGUGCGCUCGAGACUGGUUUGCUAGAGUUCGGGAGAGGAGCGUGGAAUUCCCAGUGUAGAGGUGAAAUUCGUAGAUAUUGGGAAGAACACCGGUGGCGAAGGCGGCGCUCUGGACCGAGACUGACGCUGAGGCGCGAAGGCGUGGGGAGCAAACAGGAUUAGAUACCCUAGUAGUCC
rnacentral:rRNA from 1 species